rnacentral:rRNA from 1 species
UACAUGGGGUGCAAACGUUGCUCGGAAUCAUUGGGCGUAAAGCGCGCGUAGGCGGUUACUUAAGUCGAAUGUGAAAGCCCUCGGCUUAACCGAGGAAGUGCAUCCGAAAACUGAGUAGCUAGAGUACGAAAAGAGGGUCGCGGAAUUCCCGGUGUAGAGGUGAAAUUCGUAGAUAUCGGGGAGGAACACCGGUGGCGAAGGCGGCGACCUGGGGUCGAGACUGACGCUGAGGAGCGAAAAGCGUGGGGGGAGCAACAGG